GCGGGGAUGGAGAGCUCAGAGAUGCGCUGCUGCUCCGAUAGGAUCCCGCGGCCCGCUGCUUUCUCCGCUCUUCUGCGCCGAAGCUUCAAAUCACGGUUCAUCAGGCAUUUCCUGGACUUCCUGGUUUCUUGGCCCAGUCCAGCUGUGAGUCCACCUGCUCCGCUCGGAGAUUCAGCUCGCUUUCCCAUGACGGCUGGAGUCAAUUAAGGGCUCAGAAAAACCACUGCGCUGAGGUGAAUUUAGAUGCAACUGUCUGCCGAGAGGAGGAAAAGAGCCCAGUGCUGCAGAGACAGAUUUUUGGGGUUUCCUGGUGUUGUGUCCAUAAAGAAAAAAUACAUCAUUAGGCAGACACUGGAUUUGGCCUGCAGAUCAGAACAGAUUGGACAUCUGGAGAGCCGGCAGGAUUCCCAGGAGGUGUUUUUGGAGCAGCAGAAACCGUGGUUUUCCCAGUAAUGGCUUUUUACAAGCAGCACUGCGCUCAUGUACUUUUCCCGAUAAAAUGAAAAUGCCAUCUAAACAUUUUCUGAAGACAGUUGGUUCCCUUCAAAGAUACGUUCAUAUAAAACACGCACACAGCGUUUUGAUUUUGAAAUGUGCAGUGCUUGUGUCUAUUCAAUGAAGUCAACCACCACAACUAAAUCAAUGCAGAAAUAAUGUGGGAAACAGUGUUAAUGAAUAUUGAAAUAUCGGAAAUGUGUUUAAAAAUCAUACUGCCGUUAUUGAAAAAAAUCUAGAUACUGACAUAUAUAUUGCUAUUUAAUUAUUUACCAGUCAUCGUUUUAAGUAAGGCUUACAUUUGAAUGUGUCAUUGUUUUGUUUUGAGUGUAUGAACAAUAAAUAAAGGA